rnacentral:rRNA from 1 species
AACGAACGCUGGCGGCAGGCUUAACACAUGCAAGUCGAACGCAUCCUUCGGGGUGAGUGGCAGACGGGUGAGUAACGCGUGGGAACGUGCCCUUCAGUUCGGGAUAACCCAGGGAAACUUGGGCUAAUACCGGAUACGUGCGAGAGCAGAAAGAUUUAUCGCUGAAGGAUCGGCCCGCGUCUGAUUAGCUGGUUGGUGGGGUAAUGGCCCACCAAGGCGACGAUCAGUAGCUGGUCUGAGAGGAUGAUCAGCCACAUUGGGACUGAGACACGGCCCAAACGCCUACGGGAGGCAGCAGUGGGGAAGAUUGGACAAUGUGCGCAAGCCUGGUCCAGCCAUGCCGCGUGAGUGAUGAAGGCCUUAGGGUUGUAAAGCUCUUUCGUCCGGGACGAUAAUGACGGUACCGGAAGAAGAAGCCCCGGCUAACUUCGUGCCAGCCGCCGCCGUAACAC